GCGUGGCCCGUGUGUCGCCGCCACGGAAUGGCUUCUCCCGCUGCCGCCCGGCGUGGGGCCUGUCCUAGUUUGUCUCCGGCAGGGGAGCGUCAAGCGCACAGGCAAAUUCAGUCCUGAAUGAUAGAAGUUUCCUCGUUAGCAGCUCAGCUUCCUAAUUCAAUGGUUGCACACCCUUUGUAGAAAGCGCUGAGGCGCCGGCUCACGCUGUCAGGCGCUGGCCGUCGCGUCUUCGUGGCCAUCCCACCCCUGCUCCCGCACCUUGUGCUGCCUGACUCGGUGUUACCAAGGGUCGGAGGGAACAAACACACCCAAGGGGAAAAACCGACAGCCUCCACCCACGCUUUGGUGUUUGGGUUUGGCUACAUUAAACUUGGAUGCAAACAACGACAAUUAAAAUAAUGCCGCACAUAUUGUCACAAUGUUUCACGUAAACCCUGGAACGUUGCUGUACUUUCUCUUCCAAGUAUUUCAACACUGUCAGUGCAAUACAAAGGCGCUGGAAAUGCGUGUUGACUGACAGAAUCGUGUACAAAUACAUGUUUGAAAAGCAGGCAGUGCAUAGGUCACACGGCUUUGGGAUCGGCUGGGUUUGCAUUGCAGCAGUACUGUUGUGAUCCAAACAGAAACAGUGACUUUCUGUUUAAUUUCCUGGAUUGUCUGAAAUGGGCAUUUGAUACCUAUUGUGUAUGCAAUAUGCCACUUUAACAGUCCUGGAGCCCGGAGUUCUGCUCAGCCACAACACAGGACAUGAAGCUGACAGCAGGGUGGAUUUGUACAUGCUGCUCACCUUAUGCUCCUUAAUUGUGCUCAGCAGAGACCAGUCUAAGGACAGAGGUAGUUUUGUUUUCACGCUAAUUUAAUCCCUGGCUACUCUACUGGGACUGCCACCAACUAAGAUGGAAUAGUGUUUUAUGAUGAUAAUAUUUACUGAGAAAUUGGCAAAAUGCUAAGAAAUGCCCUGUUAUAUGAGUCAAGGGAAAAUGGUAUGUCAUGUUACUAUUGACCUGUCCCUGAUUUUAACAUAUGACUAGCUGAGAAAAGUCCUUUACACCCCUACCAGUCCUUGAAAGUAACUCAAAUUGAUAUUUCCUGUUCAAGAUCAUUGUUUGCUUUAUCUAGUUUCUUAUAGGGCUUUGCAUGAAGAGUUUAAUCUUUAGCAACAAAACAUUUUUAUAAAAGUCCACUGUGUUUAACAAUACUGUUAUUUAUUUUAAACUUAUUGCCUGUACAUGGGAAUUGUAUGUUCAAUUAUCUAGCUUGUGUCCAGAUACAGAAAAUAAGCAUGUUUUCCUACUAGUAUAAUAAUAUUCACUUACUGUUUCUUUACUUUUCUUCAUCUUCAUGAGCAUGCAGUCCUACUUUGGGGACUACAUCUAUGCUUAAAUUUAAAUAAUUAAACUAAAUCAAAUGUAGUCAUCAGAGUUUAUAAAAAGGGAAUUGUGUGUGUAUGUAUAGAUAUUUCCCAAAACAUUAAAUCACUUCUAUUUCUUCUUGUUCAGAAGAGCCAUUUUCUUCAAAUGACUCAGGUUUGGACUUAGGCCCAGCAAGACACUUGACACUAAGAUUUAGAAUUUUUCACUACAGUGCCCUGCACUGGUGCCCAACACUGGAGUUAUAAUAAAAUUACUACCUUUUUUUUUUUUUUUUUAAUCUCUUGCAAAUGAUUGAUCAUUCCUGUUGAAUACCAAAUAAUGUAUCCUUAUCAUAAUGUGAAUAGCUCUGCAACUGAUGCCCUCCAUCAUGAACUCUUCAGGGCAGUUUUUUUAUGUGAAUUAUCGUAAUUUUUUUAAUGCAAAGAUAUUAUUUGAAAAUAUUUACUGCAAAUUGCCUAAUGCAUUUAUUAAGGCAGCAGAGUAAUAGAUGGGUAAGAGAAUAUAUAGUAGAUGUUGCUCAGAUAGUGAAUGUCCCAUAGCUAUUAACAUUAGGAAUGUAAGAUGCUGUUUCACUUACAGUUUUAGCCAUCAAAAAUAAAAGCCUAGCCAAAGUCUGCUGAAACUACAGCUCACUGGAGCACAACUACAAAGGACUUUUUGCACUGACAAUAUAUAACUAUCUAUACAAAUUAGGAAAUAAAAAUGCUAUAAAUAUCAAGAAAGUAUUUAGAUUACAGCUCCAGCAGAGUUCCCAGCAAUAUUAAUUCCCAGAGUUAGUAUCCCAGUUACCAAAUAAUUACAGAUUAAGCGCACAAGGUACAGAAUACAGAGUUACAUAAUGAGUCUUUCAAGUGAUACUAUGCAUUUGAUACCACCGAACAUUGAAACAAUAGAACAUCCCUUAUACACACUUUCAUGCUGGACAUCAAGCCCAAACUUCUCUCCUUUUCAUUUCUAUUUAUAUAUUUGAUCAGGAGCACUAGUAAAUACUGCAACAACAUGCAGCUAAAUCAAAAGAAUAUUUGGUGAAACAGUCACCUGUUUAUUUGUCUCUUUCAGGAGUUAAGUGGUCUGAACAAUUACUACAUAGUUUGUUCUGAGUAAUAGGGUUUAAUUGCUGCUUUUCCCUAUUCUAACUACUGUUGUUCAUUAUGAUUGCAAGUUACCACUUUUCCAGGAAAUAGAUUGAAAGGCCUCUGGGGUAAGCACUUCUGUUUAUUAAAUGCUCUAGUAGUGACUUGAAUGGUGGAUUUCAAAUUGAUUUGAAGUGGAACUUCUGGACAUGAUUGCAAUAUAAAUAUUAAAUAAUAAUUAGUGGAAGUAAUAACCACCUGAAAGACACAAAGAGGCAAUAAGUAAUUUUCCUUUAAAAAGUGCAUACUGACGUUUAUUUUAAAUAUUCCGUAAUUUAAAUUUUGCCAAAAUGUCUUACUGUAAAAUUUUCUGAAUUUAUGUGAUUCACAAGUGGAUGACACCACAUUUAUGCUGGUGAAAUUAACACAAAACUGGUAUAAUUCAGUGGCAAUUAAGUCUUAGAAGUGUGCUGUUAUAACUUCUUAAUGCAUAAUGUGUAUCUACUGUAUUUAAAGAGAAGCUAAGUAAGCAACCUCUGUUCAGUCUAACUUCAAUACAAUGCCAAAUUUACACUGGCUAAAUACACCAUACAAAUAAGUUUUCUCUGUAUUUGAUUGUUUUGUUUCUCAAAUAGCAGAAUCAAAGUGAUGAAUGUAAAUGCAUAGUGUGACUAAAUUUUGUGAUAUUAUGCAAGUACCAAUAGAAAACCUUGGUAACACCACAACCCAUUUUUUAUAUGCUGUGUUCUAGAAAUGGUUAGGAAUGUUUUAGAGUUAUUUUUAACCAUUUUAUUUGUAUUUAUUUGUGACUUUUUGUUUGUAUUUAUCUUCCUCAGCAUGGGAGAGCUGGUGAAUUCUGAGAAACACUUGGGACAUGGAAGAGCGUUUCAUAUGGUGGAGAGUAGAAAAAAAAGUGGUGUUAAGGUUUCAUCUACUGUUUUACUCCACCAAAAGAUACUUUUCUAUAUCUUUACAUGGCAGGUAUAUUCUAUAGCAUUCUUCCACAGGAGGAAGAAAAUAGCGACUCUUCAGGCCAAAAAAGUGAAAAAGUUGUCUCUUAACUAAUUUUUAUUCCUGCAAACAAACAAAAGCAUUCAACAGAGAGCUUGACUUUACCAAGAGUGAAGUGCGCUUUAGUCUAGAGGUGUAAUUAUUAAAAUUUCUAGGAAAAAAUACUUAAAAUCUUUUACUUUCUUAAACUAAAGUGAAAAUGCAUAGCUUCUGAUUAACCAUGCUAUUAGCAAUGUAGCAGACUUUACGUCUGAACAUCAUGACACCAUCAACUCAACCCAUUUUCAUGAAUAUUUCCAACUGUUGUGAUUAAACAGCAUACAUUCAGAUUAAACAGACACAUAGCUCAGAUGAGAGAGACCUUUAAUGAAUUUUGAUACUGUGGGAUAUAAACUAGAUAAGGUUUGUAGAAAAGGUGAUACCUUUCAUUAGAUAAACUGAUAGAAAUGGAAAAAAUAAAGUUUUUGACUUGACUGACAUCAUUAAUGAGAACUGAGAAUGAGAAAAACCCAAACUAAAUACAAGUGGGAUGGUAUUUGUUUUUGUAUAAUAAAAUUAUUUUAAUCAAUUUAACACUGGUGAGAAAACACCUGCUAACAUGAAUGUUCAGAGGAUGAAUCAGCAAGAAAACUGUCAGCUUUACAAAUAAUGUUGCUACUGUCUCCAUGAAGAAUGUAGUUCCAUGAUUGUUUUUCAAACAUGACUUGGAGGUCCCAUUUUAGUCCCUGCUCUGAGAUGGACUAUUUUUUUUUUUUUAUGUAUGAAAUAAUUACUAUGAAAUAAUUAUUCUCCUACCCUUUGCUGUGUUUUGUCUGUGAUCUGUUAUCUGUAUCAAUUCAUUGUAGUUAAUAACAGUUGAUGAGUUCUGUGCAUGUAAUUUUCAUAGGGAUGUGUGAUACUUAGUGUAAUAAAUUUAAAGAGUAUCAAGAAAACUCAUGGAAAUUAAUUAUUUUGGUCACUGAUAUCAAUUAUAUUAAAUAUGUGAGUAUCCAUGAAGUUUACUUUGGCUGUGCCAGCAAGGUUUCACACUAAUGAGUGUUUGUUAGUAUAGGGAGUUUAAUACUGGAAUCAUUGUUUAAAAAGAGAUGUGGGAAAAAAGAAGUCUUCAAGGACAUGUAAAUGCUGUAAUUAUCUAACCGUAUUUUUUGUAUCUAUACCAGCAUUGAGUAUUACGCAAUAAACAUGAAUAUUUUAUCAAU